AUACGUAGGGGGCGAGCGUUGUCCGGAGUUAUUGGGCGUAAAGGGCGUGUAGGCGGCCUGUUAAGUCAGGUGUGAAAUUUCAGGGCUUAACUCUGAACCUGCGCUUGAAACUGGCAGGCUAGAGGACAGGAGAGGGAAGUGGAAUUCCCGGUGUAGCGGUGGAAUGCGUAGAUAUCGGGAGGAACACCAGUGGCGAAGGCGGCUUCCUGGACUGUACCUGACGCUGAGGCGCGAAAGCUAGGGGAGCAAACAGGAUUGGAUACCCUGGUAGUCCUAGCCGUAAACGAUGAGUGCUAGGUGUGGGAGGUUAAAAUCCUUCCGUGCCGGAGUUAACGCAAUAAGCACUCCGCCUGGGGAGUACGGCCGCAAGGCUAAA
rnacentral:rRNA from 1 species